ACUAAAGUUAUGUGAAAAUGUAAUAUCUAAUCUGCAAGUCUCUACCUAUUUUUUACAGUCUAUCGUCUAACUUACCUCAAGCUACCAACCGCCAGCUAGCAACCACUAGCAAUGCAGAGUAGCAUGCUGGUAGCAUUUAGCCUUUGCUAACUUGGUAAUGUUGUUAGAGCGUUGUUUCAACAACCAGGCACCUCAGCUGCAUCCACACCCCACCUCUUUGUACAUUUUUGGUUAUCAGGGAGUUGGGCACAGUGACGUGCUGCCAAGAUUGUUUUACAGUCUAUGGUAGCAUUACGGUACACGUCCACUAUUCCGGCACGCCCACUGCCUCGGACGGAUACAAUUCAACUUCUAUGAAGUAGAGUCUUUCAUAAACAAGAGAUGGUCUUCCUUGUGGGUCCAUCAUUGUACUGCAACAGCACAUGUGAAAUAUUUUUUCUCCAUGUGAAACGUUCUGCCACCAACUGGAGGAAAAGCUAAUUAUAGCAGGGGACAAGUGCAGUAAGGAUUGGAGGAUGGUGGAGACUGUUGGUGACUCAGCUGAAUCCUUAUCACCUGGUCACAGUCCUCUGCUCUCCCUGAAGGUGCUCUCCCAGAGGAAUGAAAGAUUGUAAUGCAAAGACUGUAGUGUGUGGGCUGUUAUCAGUGUAAAGACAUCAUCAUGCUCUUGGUUAUAUCAUCUCUUCCAUCUGGGGAUGGGUCUGUGGCAGAUGAGUGGCCUGGGGUUGACACACUCAUUUCAUGUUAUCCUGUCAGAGAUGGCUUAGAGGCUGAGUCUGGCUGAAGAGGAGAGAGGUCGCAGGGGCAGCAGACUAAGCAGAGAUGCCC